UACGUAGGGUGCGAGCGUUGUCCGGAAUUAUUGGGCGUAAAGGGCUCGUAGGCGGUCUGUUGCGUCGGGAGUGAAAACUCAGGGCUUAACCCUGAGCCUGCUUCCGAUACGGGCAGACUAGAGGUAUGCAGGGGAGAACGGAAUUCCUGGUGUAGCGGUGAAAUGCGCAGAAUAUCAGGAGGAACACCGGUGGCGAAGGCGG
rnacentral:rRNA from 1 species